rnacentral:rRNA from 1 species
AUUGAACGCUGGCGGCAGGCCUAACACAUGCAAGUCGAGCGGAUGAGAGGAGCUUGCUUCUCGAUUCAGCGGCGGACGGGUGAGUAAUGCCUAGGAAUCUGCCUGAUAGUGGGGGACAACGUUUCGAAAGGAACGCUAAUACCGCAUACGUCCUACGGGAGAAAGCAGGGGACCUUCGGGCCUUGCGCUAUCAGAUGAGCCUAGGUCGGAUUAGCUAGUUGGUGAGGUAACGGCUCACCAAGGCGACGAUCCGUAACUGGUCUGAGAGGAUGAUCAGUCACACUGGAACUGAGACACGGGCCAGACUCCUACGGGAGGCAGCAGUGGGGAAUAUUGGAAAAUGGGCGAAAGCCUGAUCCAGCCAUGCCGCGUGUGUGAAGAAGGUCUUCGGAUUGUAAAGCACUUUAAGUUGGGAGGAAGGGUUGUAGAUUAAUACUCUGCAAUUUUGACGUUACCGACAGAAUAAGCACCGGCUAACUCUGUGCCAGCCGCCGCAGUAACAC